ACUCCUACGGGAGGCAGCAGUAGGGAAUCUUCCACAAUGGGCGCAAGCCUGAUGGAGCAACACCGCGUGAGUGAAGAAGGGUUUCGGCUCGUAAAGCUCUGUUGUUAAAGAAGAACACGUAUGAGAGUAACUGUUCAUACGUUGACGGUAUUUAACCAGAAAGUCACGGCUAACUACGUGCCAGCAGCCGCGGUAAUACGUAGGUGGCAAGCGUUAUCCGGAUUUAUUGGGCGUAAAGAGAGUGCAGGCGGUUUUCUAAGUCUGAUGUGAAAGCCUUCGGCUUAACCGGAGAAGUGCAUCGGAAACUGGAUAACUUGAGUGCAGAAGAGGGUAGUGGAACUCCAUGUGUAGCGGUGGAAUGCGUAGAUAUAUGGAAGAACACCAGUGGCGAAGGCGGUUACCUGGUCUGCAACUGACGCUGAGACUCGAAAGCAUGGGUAGCGAACAGGAUUAGAUACCCCUGGUAGGAUAGCG
rnacentral:rRNA from 1 species